rnacentral:rRNA from 1 species
ACGUAGGAUGCAAGCGUUGUCCGGAAUCAUUGGGCGUAAAGCGAACGUAGGCGGUUUCUUAAGUCCGUGCUUAAAGACUGGGGCUCAACCCCAGGAGUGGCAUGGAUACUGGGAGACUGGAGGACGUCAGAGGAAAGUGGAAUUCCUAGUGUAGCGGUGGAAUGCGUAGAUAUUAGGAGGAACACCAGUGGCGAAAGCGACUUUCUGGGACGUUCCUGACGCUGAGGUUCGAAAGCUCGGGGAGCAAACAGGA